GGGUGGGCGGCGACGUAGGAGAGUCGCACCGGUCUCCAACACCGGGCCGACUGAUCAUCGGCACAAGGGGGUUCGAAUCCCUCACCACCCGC
rnacentral:tRNA from 1 species